GAGAGUUUGAUCCUGGCUCAGGACGAACGCUGGCGGCGUGCCUAACACAUGCAAGUCGAGCGGAUAACGGAGGUUGGUCAUCGGAGGUCAGAAGUCAGACUAAAGAAGCAAUUGGCCGAAGGCCAAUUGCGAUAAAGAUCUGACAUCCGAUUUCCGACGACUGACUUCCGUUAUCAGCGGCGGACGGGUGAGUAACGCGUGGAUAACCUGCCCAUUAGACCGGGAUAACGCCGGGAAACUGGUGCUAAUACCGGAUACGCUCCACUGGCCGCAUGGUCGGGGGAGGAAAGGGGUAACCCGCUAAUGGAUGGGUCCGCGUCCCAUUAGCUAGAUGGUGGGGUAACGGCCCACCAUGGCGACGAUGGGUAGCCGGCCUGAGAGGGUGACCGGCCACACUGGGACUGAGACACGGCCCAGACUCCUACGGGAGGCAGCAGUGGGGAAUCUUCCGCAAUGGGCGAAAGCCUGACGGAGCGACGCCGCGUGAGCGAAGAAGGCCUUCGGGUCGUAAAGCUCUGUUGUUGGGGACGAAGGAAGUGACGGUACCCAACGAGGAAGCCCCGGCUAACUACGUGCCAGCAGCCGCGGUAAGACGUAGGGGGCGAGCGUUGUCCGGAAUUACUGGGCGUAAAGGGCGCGCAGGCGGCUCAAGAAGUCAGGGGUGAAAUACCGCAGCUCAACUGCG
rnacentral:rRNA from 1 species